rnacentral:rRNA from 1 species
CCUACGGGUGGCAGCAGUAGGGAAUAUUGCUCAAUGGGGGAAACCCUGAAGCAGCAACGCCGCGUGGAGGAUGAAGGUUUUCGGAUUGUAAACUCCUUUUGUUAGAGAAGAUAAUGACGGUAUCUAACGAAUAAGCACCGGCUAACUCCGUGCCAGCAGCCGCGGUAAUACGGAGGGGGCAAGCGUUACCCGGAUUCACUGGGCGUAAAGAGCGCGUAGGCGGGAUAGCAAGUCAGAUGUGAAAUCCUAUGGCUUAACCAUAGAACUGCAUUUGAAACUGUUAGUCUAGAGUAUGGGAGAGGUAGGUGGAAUUCUUGGUGUAGCGGUAAAAUGCGUAGAGAUCAAGAGGAAUACUCAUUGCGAAGGCGGCCUGCUAGAACAUAACUGACGCUGAUGCGCGAAAGCGUGGGGAGCAAACAGGAUUAGAUACCCUAGUAGUC